rnacentral:lncRNA from 1 species
CGUCCCCGAAGUCCGCGAAGCGCUUCUUGCAGAGGAAGUUGCACCAGGUCUCGCCCCACCCCUCUCCCGCUCUAUCCUGUCAGAUUUGGGGUCGAUCAGACCGUCUUCACCGGGGCUGGUCGGCGGAGUUUUCUUCCGGUGCUGACCGUGGCCGUGUUAGCGAUUCUGUUUGUCUGGAUGUUGCUGCAGGGAGGAGGGGGAGAGAAAGGAGGCGGUGGAGGAGGAGGAGGGGCGGCCGGUGAUGUGGCCCAGCUGGAGGCGCAGAUCGCGCUCCACUACGGCAUCCCCUACGCCUCCUCCGUCAUGGUGUUCGACCCCGUGCAGCGGCUGCUCGCCGUGGGGACGCUGUGAGCCCCCAACCUCCCUCCACUCGUCCUAACUUUGCCUACACUUCAAAAUAAGUUAAACCGAAGCUGAUAUCUCUGUCAACCUGUGUUACCACCCUCUGAAUCCGAGCAACAACCAUUUCUUGUCAUAUAGCAAGACAUCCAAAUAAGCAUCUAAAGUAGGUCAUUUGUAGUGUGCCAUCCUGCAUUCAACUCUUAAGCUUGAAGCCUUAAUGCAGUUCAGAUCAUUGCUUGAGUCAGCCAAUAGAACAUACCAGCAAGCCCUUGAGCACAUUUUCGGUGUCCAUGUUAUGUCCACCUCCUGUUGAAUUGAUGGUGACUGCGCUUCAAACUGCAGGGAUGGGAGGAUCAAAAUCUUUGGGGGUGAUAAUAUCGAAGGCAUCCUCAUAUCGCCGUAGAGCAUGCCAUACAAGUAUCUUCAGGUUUGGCACUUCAUACAAAAAGAGUAGCCCGAUUUGUUAACUGUAGGAUGGACCAAACUGUAGGACUUUGGUCGUUGGUCUUGGCACAUGGAGCAGCAGCACAAUGCAGAACUGCUCCGCUCAAAAAACAGAGCAGCUAGCCAACCAAACUGAGAUACAAUGUAGACAGGCAGGCAGCAAGUACUCCAACUAGUUAGCAGACAUAUUUUUUCCCUUCCAAUCCCCUUCCUGCUAUUGUGAUUACCACCAACAAAGAAUUUUAUCUGGCCUCCUCCUCCUCCGCGGGAAAGAAUACAAUGGAUCUUUUUUGGUUAGGCGAAAUUUAUGUCUGUACAUGCUUGAUAUGAAAGGAGGGGUUUAUCUAAUUAACUACACAUAUGGUUUCACAUUCCACCUGUGUGCUCGCAAUUUAAAUGCAGUAUAUUUUACUCACCAAUACAUCUUGAACAAUCUAAAAAAUAUAUAGCUUGGUUUAUCUUUGUAACUCCUUAUCUGAUUUUUUUCCAUUUUCCACAUUGUUGUGUCUAUUUUCUCAGUUUGGUCCUGUGUAAAUACUUGUCUUAGGGGUCUCUGUAUUGCAUAUACACGGAAUCUUCAAUUUGUCUCAAAUGCUCAGUGGUAAAAACCAGCCAUGCUGGCGGUUCUUAUCAGUGUGAUGGUAUGCUAACUGUUUCUGAUAUAAUUCUGCUCUAAAAGCCCUACACUAUUUUUGUCUUGUAGAUACACCAUGCAGACAAAUGCUGAGUUAAAAGGUCAUAACUUUACACUAAUUUAAGAUUGUCUUGACCUCAAGUGCUGGCUCCUACAGCAUUGCAUUUCACCCAGUGAAAUGCUACAUUUCUACUCCUAACCCAUUCUCUCUUUCUUAGUGUUUUUGUUAUGCAGGUUGGAAGAAAAGAAGAAGAUCCAGAGAAGAUCUUAGUAAUAAGAUAGUUUUUAGGAAAAUAGAUAUUUAGUUUUAUGUCAUUUCUUGUAAUUUUAGAUAUGGAGUGCUUGCCUUUAGUUUUUGUUUUGACUUUGUGAAACUUGCUACUCUUGGUAACAUGUGUUGGAUAUAUAUGUGUUCAUGAGUAUCGGUAAUAUGUGUUGGAUAUGCUAUACUGGUCAUAUAUAUAUAUAUGUGUGUGUGUGUGUGUGUGUGUGUGUGUGUGUGUCUAUAUAUGUGUGUGUGUGUUUGUUUUCUGUGAAAAUGAAUUGAUAUAAGAAAAAAC